UCCGAAUUGGUGUAGUGGCUAACAUUUGGUGCUCUCAUUUCAUGGUCUGACAAGAGACCUUGAGUGAUCCGCCAAGCCCGGGGUUCGAUUCCCCGAUUCGGAG